rnacentral:rRNA from 1 species
UACGUAGGGGGCUAGCGUUGUCCGGAAUCAUUGGGCGUAAAGCGCGUGUAGGCGGUCCGGUAAGUCCGCUGUGAAAGCCAGGGGCUCAACCCUUGGAUGCCGGUGGAUACUGUCGGGCUUGAGUACGGAAGAGGCGAGUGGAAUUCCUGGUGUAGCGGUGAAAUGCGCAGAUAUCAGGAGGAACACCAAUUGCGAAGGCAGCUCGCUGGGACGUAACUGACGCUGAGACGCGAAAGCGUGGGGAGCAAACAGG